GACGAACGCUGGCGGCGUGCUUAACACAUGCAAGUCUAACGGAAAGGCCCUGCUGUUGAGGGGUGCUAGAGUGGCGAACUGGGGAGUAACACGUGAGUAACCUGCCCUGGACGGGGGGACAACUGCAGGAAACUGGGGCGAAUACCGGAUAGGAGCCCCAGCUGCAUGGUGGGGGUUGGAAAGUGUCGGCGGUGGGGGAGGGAGUCUCGGCUUAUCAGCUUGUUGGUGGGGUAGUGCCUUACCACGGCGUUGAGGGGUAGCCGUGCUGAGAGGGUGAGCGGCCACACUGGGAGUGAGAUACGCCCCAGACUCCUACGGGAGAGAGCAGUGGGGAAUAUUGCACAAUGGGCGGAAGCCUGAUGCAGAAACACCGCGUGCGGGAUAUGGACCUUCGGGUUGUAAACAGCUUUCUCCUGAGACGAAGAGAGAGUGACGGUAAUGGGUAAAGAAGCGACGGCUAACUACGUG
rnacentral:rRNA from 1 species